ACAGAAACGGCAGAAACGAGUUUCUUGAAACUUUAUCAAACGGGCCCUAUAAUUACAACUGUUUAACCAACUCAAUGUUGAUUCUAUUUUCUAUAGAAGGGAAAGAAAGAGAAAAGGGGGAGUACAUACUAUUCUUAGGUAAGAAGAUCUCUUUUGGCUUUGUCUUUGUCAUGAGUGAAAGAGGAGAAAAAGAAGGAAGAAAAUGUGCUCUCUCUUGUGUUCCUUGUAGUAGGUUGCAGUGUGACAACAUUCUCUCCGUCUAAGGGUUAAAGAAAAGUACUGAGGCUUUUCCGUAUUUGUCACGACGGGUUUUGAGAUGAGAGUAGUAUAUUUUUGUGAAUCCACCUUUACUUUUGUUUGGUGAUCUGUUUUGUAACCCAAGAGGGUUUUUUCUCUUGAUAUUUGAUAGCCUCCAGUAUAUUUAAGAGGGAUUUCUCUCUUAAUUAUAGUAGAGGUCUCAUGGUUUUUCCUUACACCUUGGAAGGGUUUUCUUCAUUAAAUUAUUGUGUGCAUUUGCAGUUGGGUUGAUUCGUUUAGUGGUUUAUGUUUUUCCGUACAUUUGAUUGUUAUUGUGUGUCCCAAUUAACUUGCAAAUAAGUGAGAAAAAAGUUUCUUUUUCCCAACAGACGUUAGCUCAUUAGAGCAAGGCAAGUCGUGAUUUUAGGAGGGAUUAAAAUUGGUUACUGCCAAUUUAAAUUUUUGCACCCUCUAAAUAACUUUUUUCUUUUUUUAAUUAUAAAGCACCCUCUGACAUAUAAGUUCUACAUGAACCUAGAAGUAUAGUUAUAAAUUCUGUCCAUAACUUAGCCAUUUUGAUUACAAACAGAUGAACACUUUAUACUUUGCCCUCAUCAAAAGGUUUCACUUUGGUUUGGCUUGGUUCUUCUGAUUUGGAGUCGACCAUAAAGGAUUAAAUUUUUUUUCAACAAUAACUCAAAUCGACCAUAAAUUUUUAUCCACUGGUUUUGGUUGUCUUGGGUUUCAGUUCACAAUUGACACUACAUGCGUUCCUCCAUUUCUUGUGUGCCAUGCUCUUAUUUUAGGAGUAACUCCACCCUCUUCUUGGAAAUUGUUUCACAAGAUAUGGCUCUUAUUUUUUCCUUCUUAAUCUAAGACCUCUCUUUGUUAAUCACAUCAAAAGGUAGCUGAGAAGAGUUCUAUAAUGAAGGUGAAAUGAAACCCUAUCCAAAAAAAAAAACAGCAAUUAGUUAUUACCUUCAUAUCCUUAUAGAAUACUGAGUAUUCUGAAUAGAUUUGACGAACACCCACGAAGAGUAAGUAAUGAGAGUGAUGAGUGAGCAGCAGCCGCUUAGGGUAAAAGUUUUUCGACAAGGUAAGUGUAAGUAUUUAUAUUAGGCACAUUUACCUUCAUAUCCCUAUACUCGGGGAGUAUUUACUAAAACCCCACCUGGUUUUGGCCCUCUCGAUGCAUUCUCCAGCAUAAUUAUCAAUCUCAAGUUUUAUGGGCUUGUUUGUACGGAAAGAGAUCCUCUCAAGUGUGUCCAGUGCACAUCCAAUGGUCAGGGAUGCAUGCCUUAAUGCUGCCAACCGUUCAAUGCCACUGGAAGUCCUGAUACUGCCAGCCUUUCGAUGUACUAGGAGCAUUGGCUAAGGACCGUCGACGAUUGUUAAGAAUCAUACAAUAUUAUGUUUUAGGGUAAAAGUUUUUCGACAAGGUAAGUGUAAGUAUUUAUAUUAGGCACAUUUACCUUCAUAUCCCUAUACUCAGGGAUUAUUUACUAAAACCCCACCUGGUUUUGGCCCUUUCAAUGCAUUCUCCAGCAUAAUUAUCAAUCUCAAGUUUUAUGGGCUUGUUUGUAUGGAAAGAGAUCCUCUUAAGUCUGUCCAGUGCACAUCCAAUGGCCAGGGAUGCAUGCCUUAAUGCUGCCAACCGUUCAAUGCCACUAGAAGUCCUGAUGCUGCUAGCCUUUUGAAGUACUAGGAGCAAUGGCUGAGGACCGUCGACAAUUGUUAAGAAUCAUACAGUAUUAUGUUUUUUGCAUUAUGAACGUGUUAAUGACAAUCGACACAUGUAUUAACAAUAUAUACUUAUUUAUAUUGCUAGGUGUUAAUGAACAUAAAAUCAUGUUGACUGCAAAUAGAGAGACAAGGAGUUUGCAUGAGUCUUGGUGGAUUUGAACCACCAUACCUUGGAAAAUCCAUAGGUGCUCUACCAUUUUGAGCUAACGACUCCCUACUUGCAAAAAAAAAAAAAAAAAAAAAAAAAAGAAGAAGCACUAUUGCCUGCUACAAAAAGAGAGUAUUAGAUAUUACAACUUACAAGGUUUGAAAGGAAUUAUUUAGAGAAUUGUGAAUUAUAUAAUAGUACAAACAAAGUCCAGGGUAAUCGGAUCCAGAUCCUCUGUUAUCCUUGGAUCUGUUAUUCCUGUGUUAUUCUAGGUGCAGAAGGUGACAUGUGGCAAUGCUGAUGUGGACGGCUAGGAUGAAGUGAGAGAAGGUGGAGUAUAUGAAACCGGUUUUGGUAGAAUAAACCAAGCCCAAACCGAUUGGUUUACUGUUAGGUCGAACAUGACAAAAAUCCUACUCACAUCUCGAUUUCAAAUUCCUCUCUCGCGCUCUCUUCUCUCUCUCGCACUCCCUGUUCUUUGCAACCUCUUCAUUGGAAUCCUUCUCAGAUCAAGAACAAAGAAACCAGCCGAUGUUUGUAUUAGACUAUACCUCCUCUCUCGCGCUUUGUUCUCUCUCUCUCUCUCUCUCUCUCUCUCUUGCCUUGCUGAACUGGAAGUCCUUCAUCGAUUGGGUCCUUCACUCACCUGAAGCACCUGACGUGGCUACGAUCUCUGAUCUCUCUUGCCUGUAGCACAGUCUCCCUCUCUCGUAAGCAAGCAAGGUCUGGUUUAUUUAGGGUUUGAUAACAUAACCCUAAUCUGAGGGUUCAUUUUUCCUUGGUUCUUAAUCUCUUACGAAAGAUCAGGGGUUUAGGUUGCAUUGGGGUAGUCAAUGAUAUGUGACAGUGGUUAAACUUCUUCAUUGCAGUCAUCAUUGUUUACUAAUGCUAUUAAAAAAAAAUUUCAUGCCAUUUAUCAUCUAUGGUAGAUGUUGUAUGGAACUUUCUAUCUGUUAAAUCGACUACUGGUUUGCAACAAAUAUGGAUGCACCACAACCGUGGAUGUGUAGCUGUGGUAAAGGGAUGACGGUCAUCUGGACUUCUCGAAAGGCCAAGAAUCUUGGGCGACGACUUCACAGAUGUCCAUUAGGUGAUAAACAUCUCGACUCUUUUAUUUGGUUGGAUCCAACAUCGAGGAAAUACAUGUAGACUGUAGACACUGGGGCAUGUCAUUCAAAUGAAAGUGUUAAUAAGAACACACAGGACAUCUCGGCUGUGCCUCAAACACCCUAUAGUUCACAAGUGCGCAACCAAAUACUAGUGGACUAGUCGUUGCUCAACCAUUACUAUGGUGUAACCAUCUUCCUUUGUAUUUUGGUCUUAUUUUUUUCGUGCUAUGUUUUUUAUGUAACAACCUUAUAAUCCAAAUAAUUGAGGAGCGAUCCAGAUCCUUUGUUAUUCUCCA